rnacentral:rRNA from 1 species
GACGAAUGCUGGCGGCGUGCUUAACACAUGCAAGUCGAACGGAAAGGCCCUGCUUUUGUGGGGUGCUCGAGUGGCGAACGGGUGAGUAACACGUGAGUAACCUGCCCUUGACUUUGGGAUAACUUCAGGAAACUGGGGCUAAUACCGGAUAGGAGCUCCUGCUGCAUGGUGGGGGUUGGAAAGUUUCGGCGGUUGGGGAUGGACUCGCGGCUUAUCAGCUUGUUGGUGGGGUAGUGGCUUACCAAGGCUUUGACGGGUAGCCGGCCUGAGAGGGUGACCGGCCACAUUGGGACUGAGAUACGGCCCAGACUCCUACGGGAGGCAGCAGUGGGGAAUAUUGCACAAUGGGCGGAAGCCUGAUGCAGCAACGCCGCGUGCGGGAUAACGGCCUUCGGGUUGUAAACCGCUUUCGCCUGUGACGAAGCGUGAGUGACGGUAAUGGGUAAAGAAGCACCGGCUAACUACGUG